CAGGACAUGGUUCAUGAUGUUGCAAUGGACUACUAUGGAAAGCGCCUUGCAACAGCAUCGUCUGAUACCACCGUCAAGAUUCUUGGAGUGAGUGCCUCCUCACAGCAGCUUUUAGCCACCUUAACCGGACACACUGGUCCUGUUUGGCAGGUUGCAUGGGCUCACCCCAAGUUUGGUUCCUUACUGGCAUCUUGUGGCUACGACGGUCGUGUGGUUUUGUGGAAGGAAGGGAACAGUUCUUCUGAGUGGAUUCAAGCUCACAUGUUCAUUGACCACAAAUCUUCUGUCAAUUCAAUUGCAUGGGCACCACAUGAGCUUGGUCUCUGUCUGGCUUGUGGGUCAUCAGAUGGUAACAUAUCCAUCUUCAGUGCACGAUCUGAUGGUGGUUGGGACACUGCAAAGAUUGAACAGGCUCAUCCUGUUGGGGUGACUUCCAUCUCGUGGGCACCAUCAACCUCUCCUGGUUCUCUCGUUAGCUCGGCAGAGGUCAAUCCAACCGAAAAGCUUGCAUCUAGUGGUGCGGACAACACCAUUAAGAUCUGGAAACAUCAUGGAAGUGGUGUCUGGAAGAUGGAUUGCUUUCCUUCCCUUAGAAUGCAUACGGACUUUGUAAGAGACGUGGCGUGGGCACCCAAUCUUGGUCUUCCAAAGUCCACCAUUGCCAGUGCUUCUCAGGACGGGACUGUGAUCAUAUGGACAGCGUCCAGCAAGGAAGGUGAGAAGUGGGACGGUAAGGUCAUUAACGAUUUCAAAACUCCAGUGUGGAGAGUGUCAUGGUCGCUUACUGGGAAUAUAUUAGCGGUCGCUGACGGCAAUAAUGAUGUGACACUGUGGAAAGAAUCUGUCGAUGGUGAGUGGCAGCAAGUGACUACCAUCAAGCCGUAGAUUCGUAGGAGUAUCGAAGCUUUGCUUUUAGAGGAUGGUGUGCUGUGCAGUGUUGCUGUGAAGCAGUUCCAUCUUAAAUCAAAUACUUGAGAUUUCAAAUUCCAUACAUGUUAAUUGUGCUUUUUAUAUUUUAAAUAUCAUAUCCAUUUGGAAUUCGGAUUCUACAAAAUCUGUUAUAUCUUCUUGGUUAAAUAAAUGCCAUUAUCAUAAGCCUGUUAUAUCUUGUUGGAAUUCAGAUUCGCUCAACCAGAUUUAUGGUAUUUAAGUAAGUUAAAAUGAAGAUAAAAAAAAGGAUUCAAAACACAAGAUUUCAUUUUUCCCAAAUCAAAAUACUAGUAAGAAUUUAUAUUAGAAGCAAAAAAAAUCGCCAAAAUCCCUUGUGGUUUUGAUCUUGGAUGUUAUUAAAGACUCCAAAUCUCUCUUUAAAAAAAGUCUGUGGUUCUAAAUAGAGCGAGGACUGCAAUAUAGGUUUUAGAGAGAACCCUUUUGAGGGAGUUACUAAUUCAGUUGCUCCCUCAACUGAAUUUAGAGAGAACAAUAGUUCAGUUGAUUGAAUGUUUAAGGUUCGAGUUGUGUAUAUACUUUAAUUUUUAUUUGCUUAGGGUGUGAAUAAUUAUUUUAUCCACCUUAUUUUUAUAGUAUUUUUCGAUAUCGCCUUUCAUUUUAAUUUUUAAGAAUUUAUAUUUAAAUUUUGAUGUAUAUUUAAUAUUUUUCAAUGUUUUAUAAAUUUUAAUAACUAUAGGGGGUUUUAUGAAAUGUUUCAAUUACUUAAUAGAUUUAUUUAUCCCCAAAUCCUUCAUCAGUCGUGUCUUUUUUUUUUACUCCAAAUUGAGCACACAAGUCCUACGACGAGGAUCUACCUUACGAUCUCUGAAUCUAAGCCUCCGACGCCGAGAAACUGAAACCGUCCAUUUCCCCCUUUUUUUUUCUUUUCCAGUCAAGAUCUGAUCUCCUUCAACCGCCAAAUUCUUCCCGUUUUCUUCUUUUCUUAGCCGCGAUCUGGUCUCCCUUAAGCCUUCCAAAUCAAGGUGGAUUUUUUUUGUAUCGUAUUCGUUUUUUUUUAAUAAUGUAUAUAUAUUUUUUUCGUCUUUCACUUCUUCUGUAGUUCUGUUAUCCAGAGUUCCGGAUCAGAACAAACCUAACUCUGUUUCUAAUUUUAUAUGUAAUUACAUCAACAUUUAAAUUGUUUUGAACCAUUUUCAAAAUAGUGAUGUCCGCUAGAUUAAUUAGUAAAUCAACACAUUGUUGUUGAUAAUGAAGAUAUUCUUAAUGACUGUAAAAACUAUUCUGUAAUGUUGAAUUUCAAUUAUCUCCAUCUUUAGUCAGUCGUUCCUUGAAAGGUAUUAAUAUUCCUCUUUUUAUUGGGAUAAGAGGUCAUUUAGUUGCCUUUUAAGAAAGGUAUUCACUUGAAUUGUAUGAUCACCUAAUAUAUCACAUAUGAUGAUAUGAUUGAUUUCAGAUGAUUGGAUUUAUUUUCUGUUUAAUCAAUUCUUGUUUAGACUGAAUUUCCCAAGAAGAAUGAUGAUUUUAUUUUCUUCUCCAAUGUAAGUACAGAUUGUGAUUUAGCCUUUCGACAUUAAUAAGUCCUUGAGUUGAUUAUCCAAUAAUAUAAUUGAAUAUUUAUUAUUUGAUUAUAUAAUUGUUCGUGCAAGUGGGUUAUGUGGAGGAAACAAAACUCGAUUCCUCUUAGAUGUGAUCGUUUCUUUAAUGUAUUUUCUUUUACAUCAGAUGAGAUAAGAUCUCAGAUUCAUAUUGUUUUCUUUUUAAUGUUGUGUGAUAGAGACUGAUAGUGUUUCCACUUUAGUUUGUAAUUUUUUUGAUAAGGAUGGUACUUUUUCCACAAGGAUCUAUGUCAAAAACCUUAGAGUUCUUUAUGACCAAUUGAACUAGUCCCUCUUGUUAGUUUGUAAUUAUAGAAUAUAGAUUACCUUUAGACAUUUACUUUCUCAGUGUUAUUUAUAACCGAUGCUUAGUUGUUAGUGUUAGGCAUUAGGAAUGUGUGUGUGUUGUAUAUAACUUCUGGGAAUGUAUUAGAACUUUUGUUAUUUAAAGUAGAAACUAGAAACGACCUACACAGUUAUAUUUUACAUUUGGAAAUUUUAUAUACAAACUGACAAAACAUAUAUAAGGACUGUAAACAGUGGUCAUUUUCCAAAUGGAAAAUAAGUUUUUUUUAUUAUAGAUAAAUUAAUCCUAUAAUUUAAGUCAGGUAUUUUGGUCCCAUAAUUUACUCUCUUGUCGACUCAAAUGCUUCUUAUAUUAAAUGCAUAGUUUAAAAAGCGACAAAACGCUCUCAUUUUCCAGGGAGCGCUUUAGCGCGCUUAAAGCUGAAAAAAGCGACAGUGGCAUUUUGGUAAAUAUAUGCAAUUUUUUCGAAAAUUGCAUAUAUACCCCUGUUUUUAUAUAUAUAUAUAUAUAUUUUAACCAGUAAAUAUAUGAUAGAACAGAACAUAUAUAAACCUGUAAAUAUUCAAGUCAUAAUCUAAAAAAUACACGUCUAAAAAAAUACAUCCAAGUCAUUUCGCAAGUCAUUUAACCUAAUCAUCAAGACGAGCACCUAUAUCUAUAUUAUCUGGAGGAUCUCUGAGAAUUUCCUCUAUUUCAUCCAUGACAUAAUGAUAUUGGGAUUCAGUUCCCAAUUCUCUAAAUGAAGUCCGGAGGACUAGUAGGCGUGAAGAUCGGAGGAGAAAAACGGCUGAAGAAAGGAAGCUCCGGCGAGGUCAGGCGAUCUCCGGCAGCGAGCUCAAGGGGUUUUGGAAAAACAGUGAUAGAGAGAAAGUAAGAUAUUAAGGUUUUAUUAGAAGGGUAUUUGGAUUAUAUAGUUAGAUAGAAAUGGAGGGGUAGGAAGGGAAAUUAAAAGAUUUUAAGUUCUUUCAUAUGGGUAGUGGGUUGACCCAACCCAUUAAUCCGACUCGACCCAACCCGACUACCCACCCAAAAAAAGCGAUUGGGAAAGCGCUCCUCCAGGAGCGCUUUUCUGCUUAAAGCAUCGCUUUAAAAACUAUGAUUAAAUGUCUGAAUAUAUUCUUCUUUUUGUCUAAUUGAGCAGACACAAAAUACACAAUGAUAUUAGCUCAACUGGUUUUAUGGACUUUUAAAGUUCAUGAGGUCUAGGAUUAGAGUUUGAGUCUUAGUUGCUCACCCCAAUUUAAAUUUACUUUGUGAUGUAUUAGCCUAUUAGGUGGAUUCUUGAUGUAUUAGUAUAUUACUCAUGGUUUUAAGCUUCCACACUGAAAUGUUGGUUUUGGCAGAGGUGGGGCUUUUUAUGCGUUAAAAAAUAAAUUUCAGUUAGCAAAAAAUAGUUCAAUUAGGCUAUCCAUAUUCCUAUUUACUAGCCACCUUGUUUGAAAGGUUUUUUUACUUACUAAGAUUUUCAAAGGUAGAAUAUGAUUUUUUUUCCUGUAUAUUAUUUUCUUUCAUUUAUAUGUUUCUUUCAAUUGCAUAUAUACGUACAGAUUCAUAAUUAUUAUUUUUCACAUUUUCAAUAAAUAUAACUUUUUUCCCACUGUGAAUCAGCAGCUGAAGUUGGAAACAGUAGUGGAGAAUAAUGUCUUCUCAGAAGAUUGAAACUGGUCACCAGGACAUGGUUCAUGAUGUUGCAAUGGACUACUAUGGAAAGCGCCUUGCAACAGCAUCGUCUGAUACUACCGUCAAGAUUCUUGGAGUGAGUGCCUCCUCACAGCAGCUUUUAGCCACCUUAAGCGGACACACUGGUCCUGUUUGGCAGGUUGCAUGGGCUCACCCCAAGUUUGGUUCCUUACUGGCAUCUUGUGGCUACGACGGUCGUGUGGUCCUGUGGAAGGAAGGAAACAGCUCUUCUGAGUGGAUUCAAGCUCAUAUCUUC
rnacentral:lncRNA from 1 species